GGACAUGGCUCUGUGGGAGAGCAUCUGCUUUGCAAGCAUGUUUCCCAGUUCAAUCUCUGGCAUCUCCA